CUUGAUGGUGUGUGAAGUAACAAAGCACAUGUUGAACUUAGAAUAUGGAACAUGAGGAGACUGGUGUGCCUUCCCUUUCUUCAGUAAACGAAACAUAACAUAUCGCAAGCAUCAUUUUGAGGAAGACACUCACUUUGAACUGUCUUUCAUAUUGAAAUGUCAGUGAAAUGGAAACUUCCCUCUAAUCUGGUAUAGCCAAGAACUCAGUGGGGGUGCCAUCAUCCCAGGAUGAGCACAACACCUGUAUUUCUCUUCAUACAUGCUCCCUGUUGCUCAGGCUAAGUUUCUGGUGCUGGGAUGAAAAUUUAUUUUAAGAAAUCAGAGCUCAACUACAAACCAACAAAACCCCAAACAUGCAUUGUUCAAACUCCUGUCUGCUUUCUAUCUGCUGCCUGCACACGGACUGAUACAGUACUAGAGAAGGUGCUUAUCCAAUUCUGUCAGUCUGUUCCUAGGAGAAGACUGGUAUAAAGCAACCUGUAACAUGCUCAAUUCAUGGGAAGUGCACGAACAUAUAUUCCAAAACUAGUUAAAGGUAUACAAAAUAUAAAUUUUUAUUUAAGUUUGUAAGUUUCUCAUUAAAGAUGCCUAAGUUUAAUGACCUGUGGAGAUGAAAUGUCUAAAUAUGUAUUAAAAAU
rnacentral:lncRNA from 13 species